GGUUAACGCUGGCGGCGUGCCUAACACAUGCAAGUCGAGCGGAAAUAUUCUGAAGAGUAAUCGGAAGGAUAUUUUAGCGGCGGACGGGUGAGUAACACGUGGGCAACCUGCCCUGUACAGGGGGAUAACACUGGGAAACUAGUGCUAAUACCGCAUGAUACGCGAAGAUGGCAUCAUUUUUGCGUCAAAGGAGAAAUCCGGUACAGGAUGGGCCCGCGUCCGAUUAGCUAGUUGGUGAGGUAAUGGCUCACCAAGGCGACGAUCGGUAGCCGGAUUGAGAGGUUGAACGGCCACAUUGGGACUGAGAUACGGCCCAGACUCCUACGGGAGGCAGCAGUUGGGAAUCUUAGGCAAUGGACGAAAGUCUGACCUAGCGACGCCGCGUGAGGGAAGAAGGCCUCGGUUGUAACCGUCUGUCUGGGGAGUGAGAACGGACGGUACCCCGGACGGAACGGACCCGGCCGUAACUACGUG
rnacentral:rRNA from 1 species